UACAGAGGGUGCGAGCGUUGUUCGGAAUUAUUGGGCGUAAAGCGCGUGUAGGCGGUGGUGCAUGUCGGGUGUGAAAGCCCUCGGCUUAACCGGGGAAGUGCGCCCGAAACUGCAUCGCUGGAGUGCCGGAGAGGGUGGCGGAAUUCCGGGUGUAGAGGUGAAAUUCGUAGAUAUCCGGAGGAACACCAGUGGCGAAGGCGGCCACCUGGACGGACACUGACGCUGAGACGCGAAAGCGUGGGUAGCAAACAGG
rnacentral:rRNA from 1 species